UACGAAGGGUGCAAGCGUUACUCGGAAUUACUGGGCGUAAAGCGUGCGCAGGCGGUGAGUUAAGUCUGAUGUGAAAGCCCCGGGCUCAACCUGGGAAUGGCAUUGGAAACUGGCUCGCUGGAGUGUGGCAGAGGGGGGUGGAAUUCCGCGUGUAGCAGUGAAAUGCGUAGAGAUGCGGAGGAACACCGAUGGCGAAGGCAGCCCCCUGGGCCAACACUGACGCUCAGGCACGAAAGCGUGGGGAGCGAACAGG
rnacentral:rRNA from 1 species